AGUAGACCUGCAGAUGAUGAAGUUAAAGCGAUCAUUGAAAAAAUAAAAGAUCAGGUAUUGGGUAAGGUCAACCAGUCUUUAGAUCAAUAUGAAGCUGUAUCAUAUAAAACUCAAGUUGUUGCUGGAACAAAUUUUUUUAUCAAGGUU